GCAUAUCAAUAAGCGGAGGAAAAGAAACCAACAGGGAUUGCCCUAGUAACGGCGAGUGAAGCGGCAACAGCUCAAAUUUGAAAUCUGGCUCUUUUAAGGGUCCGAGUUGUAAUUUGUAGAGGGUGCUUUGGUGUUAGCUGUGGUCUAAGUCCCUUGGAACAGGGCGUCACAGAGGGUGAGAAUCCCGUAUGUGGCCAGCAGCUUCCGCCUUGUAAAGCCCCUUCGACGAGUCGAGUUGUUUGGGAAUGCAGCUCUAAAUGGGAGGUAAAUUUCUUCUAAAGCUAAAUAUUGGCCAGAGACCGAUAGCGCACAAGUAGAGUGAUCGAAAGAUGAAAAGCACUUUGGAAAGAGAGUCAAAAAGCACGUGAAAUUGUUGAAAGGGAAGCGUUUGCAGCCAGACUUGCCCGUAGUUGCUCAGCCAGACCUCGUGUCUGGUGCACUCUUCUGCGGGCAGGCCAGCAUCAGUUCAGGCGGUCGGAUAAAGGCUUUGGGAAUGUGGCUCCUCUCGGGGAGUGUUAUAGCCCAGAGCGUCAUGCGGCCAGCUUGGACUGAGGUCCGCGCUUUUGCUAGGAUGCUGGCGUAAUGGCUGUAAGCGGCCCGUCUUGAAACACGGACCAAGGAGUCUAACAUCUAUGCGAGUGUUUGGGUGUCAAGCCCGAGCGCGUAAUGAAAGUGAACGGAGGUGGGAACCCUUUGGGGUGCACCAUCGACCGAUCCUGAUGUCUUCGGAUGGAUUUGAGUAAGAGCAUAGCUGUUGGGACCCGAAAGAUGGUGAACUAUGCCUGAAUAGGGUGAAGCCAGAGGAAACUCUGGUGGAGGCUCGCAGCGGUUCUGACGUGCAAAUCGAUCGUCAAAUUUGGGCAUAGGGGCGAAAGACUAAUCGAACCAUCUAGUAGCUGGUUCCUGC
rnacentral:rRNA from 1 species